rnacentral:rRNA from 1 species
AUUGAACGCUGGCGGCAUGCCUUACACAUGCAAGUCGAACGGCAGCACGGGUGCUUGCACCUGGUGGCGAGUGGCGAACGGGUGAGUAAUACAUCGGUACACGUCCUGUGGUGGGGGAUAGCCCGGCGAAAGCCGGAUUAAUACCCCAUACGAACUACGGAUGAAAGCGGGGGACCUUGGGGCCUCGCGCUGUAGGGUUGGCCGAUGGCUGAUUAGCUCGUUGGUGGGGUAAAGGCCUACCAAGGCGACGAUCAGUAGCUGGUCUGAGAGGACGACCAGCCACACUGGGACUGAGACACGGCCCAGACUCCUACGGGAGGCAGCAGUCGGGAAUUUUGGACAAUGGGCGAAAGCCUGAUCCAGCAAUGCCGCGUGUGUGAAGAAGGCCUUCGGGUUGUAAAGCACUUUUGUCCGGAAAGAAAUCCUUGGCCCUAAUACGGUCGGGGGAUGACGGUACCGGAAGAAUAAGCACCGGCUAACUACGUG